AUUUGUAUAGUUUAAAUAAAACAUUACAUUUUCAUUGUAAAAAUAGAUCUAAUCUUAUAAAUA
rnacentral:tRNA from 1 species